rnacentral:rRNA from 1 species
GACAGAGGUCCCGAGCGUUAGACGGAAUCACUGGGCUUAAAGCGUGUGUAGGCGGAUCUGUAAGUACCUUGUGAAAUCCCAUAGCUUAACUAUGGAACUGCUUGGUAUACUGCGGGUCUUGAGCCACUUAGGGGCAACCGGAACAAACGGUGGAGCGGUGAAAUGCGUAGAUAUCGUUUGGAACGCCAAUGGUGAAAACAGCUUGCUGGGAGUGUGCUGACGCUGAGACACGAAAGCCAGGGGAGCAAACGGG